GCCGUUUCUGGGAACAGGUGUUCGGUUCUCAGGUGUGUAGGCACUCUUGGUGACUGUCUUUCAGCUCUCAGCACAGGCAGGCAUCCUCAGUUUCUCUGCAGGAAAAUUGCUGGUCUGAAGAACAUUCAUUCAAAGAAAGGAAAAAUCACACAGCACAAUACGACAGCUUCAUUUCCCAAGGUGGUGAAACCUACAUGUAAGAAUGUAAAUUUAACAUAAAAAUGCAUCUUGACCCUUGACGUCACAGCUGUAAAGUCACCCAGGGACAAGGAAAGGUAGAAGAGUGUACAAGCACAGUCCCUGGAACACUGGGGUCUGCGUGCAAGCUUGCUGGCCUACUCACCCAUCCCAGAGGGCAGUAUGGCUCAGUUCAGCAUGGCUGUGCCUCAGGCCUGAAGAGAAGAGGCUCAGGAUUUGGAUGGCAGAUGGCACUUGUCCUCUGGUGGCCUCUUUAGCAGGGGACAUCAAUUAAAGAUCAGGGGCUGAGUGAGAGGCUGGCAGUGCCUGCACUUGGCUGACCUUGUG